CGACGCCCGGGUCAGGGCCUGGGCGCGGCUCGGAGCCGGGUCGUCGCUAUAGCAAUCGGGAACCGCUACCUGUCCAUUCCAAGGAUUCGGUCCAGCAGAAGCGUGAGGAGGUGGCGGAGGCCCCGAGGGCUUUGCGUCAUCACUUCUGCGGCCUGCGGGCGAGAAGGUGCGCUUCGGGAGUAGCGCGGGAGGACAGGAGGCGCAGGUUGUGAGGGACGCAGGCCCUGGGGCUUCGGUCUCUGUCCUCCGAGCUCAGAGCCUCCAGGCUUCUUCCCGGCCGCGCGCUCAGCACUCACUGUCUUACGGUCCCGAAGCGCUUUAAGGUGCGCAGUCCGCAGGCCUUGCCUACUGAUCUUCCAGCCACCCCUUGAAGGAAGCAGUUGCAGGUAUUAAGAGCUCCUUAUUGAAAAGGACGAUGUAGAGGGGCGGUGAGGGACUCGCCUCCGCAGGGAGGGCGCCCUGGCGGUCUUCUCAGGUUCUCUCUCAUUCCCGCGUCAGCUCCACCGUCAGGCUCGAAACCGACUACUCCCUUUUGUAGGCUUGCUUUGGGUUGAACAUAAAAACCAAGCCCCUUUACUAUUUCCCUGCUGGGAGGGGCUGCGAUUGGGAAAUUUUCAGAAACCUGAGGGAAAAUUAAAAGGGAGCGAGCUUUCGGUAAAAAAUCAAAUUAAAAAGGAGGGGCGUUAGAGAAGGAACUGGUAAAGAUUGCCUUUUAGGAGAGGAACUGGGUGGCUGGAAGAAUGAGGUGAGAAACUUUCCCCUCUCUAUCCUUUCAGACUUUAACUGGUUUCUUUUGUAUCUUCCCCGCCCCGAAAACAAUUUAACUUAAUAAGAAUAAUUUUUAAAGGACGUAAACUAGACACAGUUACAAAGUACGGGGUUUGGGGCUUGUGGUAGCUAAAGGUGUCUUUGGGGAUGCGGGCAUCCUUUUCCUCUCCUGCCUGAAGAGCUUAACUAGAAAGCCCCCCUUUCGGUCUUAGACAUCCCCUCUUCCUGACUUGUUCUGGCUGGGACCAGAGUUCAGUUUAGGUAGGCCAGUGAGUGACAUUUGAUGGUUAGAAUUCCUACGGUUAGAAUUAAUCCCUUCUGUAUCUCCUAGUAUGGAAAUAAACUGCCUGGCCACUAUGCUGCCCUCUUUCCAUUCCUUUUUGGUGGAAGUUUGACAAGUUAUUUCCCAUAGAAAAUAACUUAUAGGCCGGGCGCCGUGGCUUAAACGCCUGUAAUCCCAGCACUUUGGGAGGCUGAGGCGGGCGGAUCACGAGGUCAGGAGUUCGAGACCAGCCUGGUCAACAUAGUGAAACCCCCCCUCUCUACUAAAAAUACAAAAAAAUUAGCUGGGCGUGGUGGCGGGCGCCUGUAAUCCCAGCUACUCCGGAGGUUGAGGCAGGAGAAUUGCUUGAACCCGGGAGGCGGAGGUUGCAGUGAGCCAAGAUCGCACCAUUGCAGUCCAGCGCGGGCAACAGUGUGACUCCGUCUCAAAAAAAGAAAAAAAAAAAGAAAAAGAAAAAGUACCUUAUAGAUACAGAGAGAAGAUUAAGUAGCUCCUCUUAUAAUAUGAAUUGAGGGUUAGAAAUACCGCAGGGAAUAGAACUCAGGCUGUACCUGAGUUUGUCCCUCUCCAACCACCCUUUUUCCAUAGCUCUCUCUGUAUAUAUAUAUCUGUCUUUUCUCACAUUCCUUACGGAUCGUAAUCUGAUGGCCAGUCACCUCUGCAAUUAUACAUUUAACAAGAGCUCUGGGAAACAGUGUCUGAAUCUGAAGUAAUGAUCCUAAUGGAAGGUAAUUUCAGGUUCUCAGGAGAAUUGGUGAGGAUAUUUUGGAGGGCAGUAUUGAAGACCAUUGCUAGCAGUUUCUCUCCUAUCCCUUCCACUCAACAUAUAGGCUGGUGAUCUUCAGACAUUUUUUAGAAUGAACCCAUAAAAGAAUUUUGAAGAGCUAUGUACCUCUUGUUCAUUUUUAAGUUGAUACCUAAAUUUUCCUUCAUUAAUUUAAAUACUUAUAGAGGAUACAAUUUCAAAUUUUGACAUCUUAAACUAAGACUUACAUCAUUCUUUUUUUCUGAGACGGAGUCUCGCUCUGUCAACCAGGCUGGAGUGCUGCAGUGGCGAAAUCUCAGCUCACUGCAACUUCCCCUUCCAGGUUCAAGCAAUUCUCCUGCCUCAGCCUCCCGAGUAGCUGGGACUACAGGUAUGCGCCACCAUGCCUGGCUAAUUUUUAGUAGAAACGGGGUUUCAUGGUGUUAGCCAGGAUGGUCUCGAUCUCCUGACCUCGUGAUCCGCCCGCCUUGGCCUCCCAAAGUGCUGAGAUUACAGGCAUGAGCCACCACACUUGGUCUACAUCAUUCUUAAUGUAUCUGGCAGGGCAGGCACAGUGGCUCAUGCUUGUAAUCCCAGCACUUUGGGAGGCUGAGACAGGCGGAUCCCGAGGCCAGGAGUUCGAGACCAGCCUGGCCAAGAUGGUGAAACCCUGUCUCUACUAAAAAUACAAAAAUUAGCCGGGCAUGGUGGUGCGUACCUGUAGUCCUAGCUACUCGGGAGGCUGAGGCAGGAGAAUCACUUGAACUCGGGAGGCGGAGGUUGCAGUGAGCUGAGAUCGUGCCACUGCACUCUAGCCUGGGCUACAGAGUGAGACUGUCUCACAUUAAAAAAAAGUAUCCGGUGGAUUCCAAGUACCCUAAAAAUCUAAUGCCUACCAUCAUCCACUUAAAAAUAUAUGAACAAGCUCUUCAACAGAAAUUUUAUAUGGUUCUCUUUCUCCUUAUACUUUGAAUUCCAUUCACUUCCUGUAAUCAUUAGUAUAUAACUUACUAAACUUUUUUUUUUUACUAAAUAUUACUAAAUACUAAAUUUUCCUAAAUAUUUUUAACAUUUUUAUGACUUGUGAAACCUAAAAAGUACAAUUUUUAUUGAAAAUGCAUCUGUUAAUGAGAAAUAUGGUGUUUCUCCCCAAUUAGUUCAGGUAUUCAUGGAUUAAUAUUACCUAAUGGUAGAAGGAGAUAAGGUGCAACAUCAAUCCUUUACCUGUUUUUUAUUUUUAUAGACAUGAGUAUUGAGAAACCUUGUUUCCACAAUUGGGAAAGGAAGAGAUUUGUUACAAUGAUAUUCUUUGAGUCUUUGAACUUCUAAAUUAUAUGCCAACAAUCACAGAGUGAUCUAUUAAUACUAUCAAAUAGAGUCUUCUUUUAAUUUUGUUAAAAGCAAAGGAUUAGAAACCACUGAACUUCCAAAAGGAUUUAGUUAUUAGAGUCUCAGUUUUGGUUUUAUUAAACAUGAUUAUUAAUUAUCUGUGACCUUUACACUCAGAGACACUUUGUUAAUCAGAUAUUGAUUUCCAUACUUCUUUGCCUACACAAUAUUUUUUGGUAAAAUUCUUUAAUUAUUACAUGUCUUCAAGAACUUUUUGUUAAACUGAAAUGCAGAUUCAGCUCAUUCACUGUAUAGAAAACAACUGCCAUUUGUGGAAUUGGCAAAGCCAGUUUUCAUUUCAAACCAAUCAGCCAAAUCAGACCUACUUUCUGUUAGAAACAUGUCUGACUUUAUUCUUCCAUUCAAAUAAAUAUGUUAACAUUCAUUUUGAGGAAUAUUAUAAAAAUUAUUAGGAAAUAAAUGAUUAACUAUAGCUUAUAAAAUGGACCACUGAUAAACCAGUCAAGAUUAAAAUUAUUUAGACCUACUAUUAACAUAAUAAAUGGUAAAAAUAAGAUAGUACUGUUUUUCAUUAUAUAAUUAGGAAUAAUGCUGUAUAAUGUAUAGUUAAAUCCAUCAGUUUUGAGAAGUCAUAUAGAAGGCAUAUAUUCCCUUGGUAAAUGUGUGUGCCUGCUUUCAUCAAACUCUUGUUGUUCAGCUUUUGGGAACAAUUAAAUGAGAAUCAUGUCUAAAAAUCAGAAAUAACUAAUAAUCUUGUUACACAAAUUUUUUUCUUCUGUAUUUUUUAGAAAGGAAAGCUGUAUUUGCUAAGAAAUAAUGAAUUGAGCAGCUAGCAAUUUCACUUUUUACUAGGAGGUAGAAAAUAAUAAACAUUUUAUAUAAGAUAAAAUAGGAAGACUGAUUGCAAUGGGAAUAUUUUGAUAUGAAGUGGAAAAUAAUUGCUCCCUCCAAGCUCCUCAGGUUUUUACACCCUGGACCAUGCAUCAAGAUUCAGUGUAGGGGAGAGACAUUCCUUUCUUUUGUAAAGUAGGACAAGGACUAUGGUGAAAGUGGGGGCAGUGGUAGAGUGGAGAAUGUGCAUGAAUAUGUCAGCUGGCUCCCAAAUGGAUUGGUUUUUAGAAUUUUUUUUUUUUUUUUUUUUUGAGACGGAGCCUCGCUCUGUCACCCAGGCUGGAGUGCAAUGGCAUGAUCUCAGCUCACUGUAACCUCUGCCUCCCGGGUUCAAGCGAUUCUCCUGCCUCAGCCUCCUGAGUAGCUGGGAUUAUAGGCGCGUGCCACCACGCCCGGCUAAUUUUUGUAUUUUUAGUAGAGAUGGGGUUUCACCUUGUUGGUCAUGCUGGUCUCAAACUCCUGACCUUGUGAUCUGCCUGUCUUGGCCUCCCAAAGUGCGGGGAUUACAAGCAUGAGCCACUGUGCCUGGCCGUUUUUUUUGUUUUUGUUUUUGUUUUUUGAGAUGAAGUUUUGCUCCUGUUGCCCAGGCUGGAGUGCAGUGGCACGACCUCGGCUCACUGCCACCUCCGCCUCCUGGGUUCAAGCGAUUCUCAUGCCUCAGCCUGCCAAGUAGCUGGGAUUACAGGUGCCUGCCACCACGCCCGGCUGUUUGUUUUUUUUUUUUUCUGAGAUGGAGUCUUGCUCUGUUACCCAGGCUGGAGUGCAGUGGCCCAAUUCAGCUCCCUGCAACCUCCCCUUCCUGGGUUCAAGAGAUUCUCCUGCCUCAGCCUCCCAGGUAGCUAUAAUUACAGGUGUGCACUGCCACACCCGGUUAAUUUUUGUAUUUUUAGUAGAAAUGGGGUUUCACUAUGUUGGCCAGGCUGGUCUCAAACUCUUACCUCAGGCGAUCCGCCCGCUACAGCCUCCCAAAGUGCUGGGAUUACAGGUGUGAGCCAGUGCACCCGGCCUGGUUUUAGAAAAUAUUUUAUAGGGAAGUUGAGGAUCUGGAAAUUUAUUCCUUUAAAACUCUCCUCAGACUGAUUUGAGGCUAUUUCCUGGGUAUUCCUUGCAGUCUUACGUACCCUAGGAAAAAUCUUCAUUUACCCCACUUGGAAGACUUCUUAAUAUAGGCAUAUCCAAACUCCAAUGUCCCUGACUAUCCAUUAUUUUGAGACACCAAAGCAAAUGUCCUACGAAGUAAGGAGGAAGACGUGUUGUUCUUAGAAUAGAAGUGAGUUAUGAGAGAAGUCAAAGAGGAUGGCUCCAAGUUGGUAUAGUGUGAAGGUCAUGGAUAUGGUCCUUGGCUUUGCAGUUCUAGAAGUGUGAUUUUGGGUCAGUCCACACAAAGGUGUUCAUGUUUUGUCACAUUAAAUCAAACUCAUAGGAAGUUAAUGUACAUAAUAGAAUGCCAGUGCAUUCUUUUAUACUUACAGCCACCAAGUGAACUGGAUUAUCGCUCCUGUUGGGUAAAUCUUAUCUGGGAAGAUCAAUUAUAAUCAGAAAGUUACAUGAGGAGUGUGGAUCUUGAGCAUGGCUAUUGUCAAUAAGCUGAUGAGCAGGUGCUCACUACCUGGCAUAUAAUAGGAUCUCAGUAAUUAUGGAAUGAAUGUACUUCAUCUGUAUCUUCAUUAUAGAUGCUAAAGGGUAAGUUUAAGAUUCUGAUAGGCCACCCCACAUGUUUUUUGAUCAGGUAGAUUUUUCCUUGUUGCUCAAGUUAUACUCUUAAAUGGCUAUAUCAUGUAGAUAUUAAAUCCAAUAAAAUUUCAUGAAAGGGAAUUAUAUAAUUGCAACAGCAAAGUUUUAUCUAUAUCUCUGAGCCUAGAAAUUGGGACUGUUCAUUUAUAAUAGAGAUUGGAGAUUGCUUUCUCCUGCCCUGUAGGAGUAGUGAUGGUGGUAGUGACUAAAUGAUCUGUAUUUCACAAUACUAUUUGGUGGCUAAGAGUGUACUGCAUACAAAGAAUGACACUGGGUGACCCUCAGUGCUGGCGCUUUCCUAGAGGUGGGACAUCCUGAGUAGGGAGGUGCUGAACCACCUGUGGGCUGGCCAGCUGUUGUGGACUGUACUGUGGAGAGGAGGAACAAUAAAUUUCCCCCACUCCUUAGAUCCCCCUCAGGAGAUAAUACUUGAUGCUGCUUUUAAGGACAGAGAAAAGACAAGCCUUUUCAAAUUUUAAAAUCAUUAGGGAUGAGUUGCCAAAAAAUUUGGGUUAAGUUUUAUCUGGAAGCCAGAAGACAUUGUCUCCUCAAGGCUUUUUCUGGCUCUGGGAUAAGCUAUUGAGAUAGAGGAAAAGAUGCCGGGCUGAGGAGUUUCAUUUAGUAUUUUAAUAAUAAUAAAAAAGACAUACAAAAUCCAAACAUUUCUUUUUACAAUUCAGAUACAUAUUUUUCCCCAAGUGCAAAAUACUCUAUGAACUGCAUCAUUUGCUGUUUAUUGUCGAUUGUAUAGGAGAUGCUUACUAAAUUGGCAGCAGUGGAAGGCAGAUAUAAAUACAAUAUUUUGAAAUUUCUUCUGCAUUUAACAAAAAGCCUCCCACAUGGCGAUGAUUAUUCUGAAACUUGAGUUCAGCUCACACAGAAGUAUAAAGUUUUCAGUUUGUUCAAACUGCUACAACCUGUGGUGUCUAAAAAAGCUGAUGACAACUGGGGGUUCUAUUCCUUCUAAUCAUAUAUUUCCUUGUACAAAUAAUGGCACAAGGAUAGGGUGUGCUACUUUUGAGACGGGUCAAAUGUAAAAAUAUCCUUGUGUUGUUCGCUCCCACUUUUAUUGUGCUUAAGAAAGAAACCUGGAGGGUUAACAUUUUCUGCUUAUGCUCAGUUAUACUUUGUCUUGGUACCCCUUGUUUGUGGCUGUAAUAUUGAGGUUAAGCAGCAAAUACAAAAGUUCGAGUGCUCUAUAACGUUUUCUGACAUUUUGAGAUAUGACCUCAUAAUCCAUUCCAGAGUCACCUCAAACAUGUAUAUAGAGAACACUUCUCAUAUAAAAAGUUUCUCUAGGGCCAAAGACCAGGACUGUGUUACUGAACUUUCAGCAACAAAUCUGAGUCUCCACCACCUCAAACUGACCAAAUCUUGGGGGCUGUUAAAGCAGUCACAGCUCAGUGCCAGCCUUUGGGGAUUUCUAGGCCUGGAGCAGGCAGCUCAGAUCCAGGAUCUGGUCAGUUUUCUUCUGACUCCAAGAGUUGUCUCAGGUUGUAGGAAUAGGCAUGGCCUGAUAAUAUAGAAAGAGGGAGGCAGAGAAGUAAAGAGGAACUGCCAUGUUGCUGAGGAUAUAAGUGCCUUUCUGGUGUGCAUUACUUGGUGCGUGAAGCCCUCCCAUUUCCAGGCUCAGAGCAGGUGAGGUUUUGUACUAAGAUGAAUGGAAGCCCCACAAUACUGUCGCCCCACACCCUACACGCUGCAGAGAGGCCUCUGGGUUGCUUCAUGAAGGGAUCCUAUUUAUACCAUCUUUCCAUUUCCCUCCAAUGGUAAAAACCUCUCUUCUGUCUGACCUGUAAAGACCUAGAAUGUCCCUGAGCGUUGACUCCUCAUUCAAUCCAGUUAACCCCUAGUUUGAUGUCCCAGGGCCAGCCUCCUCCAUAGAUUCAGCAGCAGCUUUGCCUGGGUUCUUAACCCUCCAACUUGGAGGACCUAAAUUAAACUUGGUGGACAAUAGCAGGUUUUUACCUGCUCACCAAGAUCUGCCUUGACAUCAAUUAAGAAGCCUAGUGGUCUAUGCCUUCCGUACUGUGGAACUCAUUUGCAGGUCUCAUAAGCCAUGGAAUAAAUGGUUGAAGGAUGUGUAUUUGUAUGUAUGUAUGCAUGGUGUGACAGGAAAGGAAGGGAGAAAGGAGAAGCCAGACCCUGAAGGCAUAAAUUAAGAAGCAUGGUCACCGUUUGGCUUUCCAAGAGACGCAAAACGGCUGGCAGAGAGGAAUCAGAAAGUUAUCCUAGGCUGGGCGCGGUGGCUCAUGCCUGUAAUCCCAGCACUUUGGGAGACUGAGGCGGGUGGAUCACCUGAGGUCAAGAGUUCAAGACCAGCCCGGGCAACAUGGUGAAACCCCAUCUCUACUAAAAAUACAAAAAUUAGCUGGGCGCGGUGGCGCAUGCCUGUAAUCCCAGCUACUUGGGAGGCCGAGGCAGAAUUGCUUGAGCCUGGGAGGCGGAGGUUG
rnacentral:lncRNA from 10 species